AAGCAGAUGAGAUUCCCUAAUCUAUUUGGGAUCCUUGUGUCCAUUCUACUGGUUCUGAUUGGCUUGGUGAUUGUAUCUGCUCUUGUUUUGAUGGCAAGAAAGCGAUGGAAAAGAGAUGCUGCAGUACCCAAAAUACCACAGAACUCUGGUGACACAGUUGGGUACAGGAGCUCAGAGUCCAGCCCCGGGCAGCAAGCACAAGAAGUGGCGAUAGAGAACAUCUAUCAAACAGAAUGUGAUGACAGAGCUGACUAUGAGGAAUGUCCCUGAAGAUGCGUUAAGAUACACUUAAGACGCACUUAUCCAGUCGUGUUGGUUGAAAUUACUUGAAGGGUAGUGUCAUAACAUGGUCAUAAUUCUGUCAUAACCAUGUCAUAACAUGGUCACGACACUAUAAUGCCCCAUUUAUUUUGAAACAUUAUGACAAAUAUUGUGUUCAUUUUAUGACUGGUUAUGACACUUACGCAGGUCUAUCAAAAUAUA